UACAGAGGGUGCAAGCGUUGUUCGGAAUUAUUGGGCGUAAAGAGCUCGUAGGCGGUCUGUCGCGUCGGCUGUGAAAUCCCGAGGCUCAACCUCGGGUCUGCAGUCGAUACGGGCAAACUAGAGUAUUGCAGGGGAGACUGGGAUUCCUGGUGUAGCGGUGAAAUGCGCAGAUAUCAGGAGGAACACCGGUGGCGAAGGCGGGUCUCUGGGCAAUAACUGACGCUGAGGAGCGAAAGCGUGGGGAGCGAACAGG
rnacentral:rRNA from 1 species